rnacentral:rRNA from 1 species
UCGGAUUGCAGCCUGCAACUCGGCUGCAUGAAGCUGGAAUCGCUAGUAAUCGCGGAUCAGAAUGCCGCGGUGAAUACGUUCCCGGGUCUUGUACACACCGCCCGUCACACCAUGGGAGUCGGGAAUGCCCGAAGUCAGUGACCCAACCGAAAGGGGGGAGCUGUCGAAGGCAGGCCUGGUAACUGGGGUGAAGUCGUAACAAGGUACC